rnacentral:rRNA from 1 species
AUGCAUCUCAUUUUCUUCAUAUGGAUUGUGUUCAUUCCUCUUUGGAUCGGUUUGCUGGUUGAUUUAACACUGCUUUCACCCUUCAUCGGGCCUGGUAAUGGUGUUCCAGUUCUAGACUUUUUCUGCACUUGGGCCCUGGGGCGGAUAACACAGGUUUAUGGGAUAAGAUUGGCUCGUCGGUACAAAGUCAGAGGCGGGCUCCCUUCCCUGGCUGAUUCCGUUGAGAACUAUUGGACCGGAGACAAGUUGGAAUCUCUUUCAAAGAUGGGACCUUUUGCAACGAAGCUAGUCGCUGCUCUGGGUGUUCCUUAUGUGCUCGCCGAGGGUGUCUUCCCAAGACUAGGCUACCCAGCUGCCGUAAACUCCAUGGUCUACCAUUUCGCGUGGUUGGGCUGCAUCGCCUUCUAUGCGCUCUGCUAUCUCGCGAAGGUAGCCUUCACUAUGCUCCAUGAUUCUAUUAGGGGAUCGUUAUGGGCCGAGCAGACAUACCGAGAGCAUAUGUAUCAAUGCAGCUGUUAA